rnacentral:lncRNA from 1 species
UGCUUCAGACUGUGUCUAUUCUAGGAAGGCUGACACAUGAUGAGAAGAGUCAGUGGUCCUGAGGUACAGUACUUAAGAUAACCCUGUGAAGGCUGAGAUUGAUAUUUGAAAUUCACAACUGAUCUUGGAGCCUGGUACAGCAGUCAUGGAGCCAUAUUGGAUUGUGAAAGGAACUCAGUUGACCUGGCCUAUUGCAGAUUUAUUCUGAGAAUUUCAAUUCAGUCUUUGCUGCUGUUUGGAAAUCUUUCAUGAAUCUUUUAAUAACUUCCUUACAUACAUCUUGUUCCAUUAAAGCCCCAAAUUUGGCUUUGUCAGCUCUCUUUCUUCAUAAUCUUUAGGAUUUGUUCAUGUGUGGAUGUGAUGGAACUGAAGUCGCUAGGUUCAUGCUACCUGGAACAUGAGACUGACAAAUAGAGGAGCACUGAGUCAAAUGAAUCUCGGAGAAAUGGAGCUGGAAGAAAACUGGAAGUUUCAUUCUUGUUGCCCAGGCUGGAGUGCAAUGGUGUGAUCUUGGCUCACCGCAACCUUGACCUCCUAGGUUCAAGUGAUUCUCCUGUCUCAGUCUCCUGAGUAGCUAGUAUUACAGGCAUGCACCACUAUGCCCGGCUAAUUUUGUAUUUUUAGUUGAGAUGGGGUUUCUCCAUGUUGGUCAGGCUGGUCUCGAACUCCCGACCUCAGGUGAUCCACCUGCUUCAGCCUCCCAAAGUGCUGGGAUUACAGGUGUGAGCAGCCGUGCCCUGCUGAAACUUAUUUGUUUGAGCAAUAAAAGCCACAUAUUUCCUCUUUUGA